CAACAACACUGAAUCCAGACAACACAACAAGAUCUCUGAAUCAAGUGAUUGUGAUUGUUGUCGUCGCUUCAUUCACUGUUCUCCUUCCUGCUCUGAUUCUUUGGCUGAUUCUGAAAAAAAGAGCCGGUGUCAGAAGAGCGACUGAUGACUCUGUGG